CGUAAACACUACCAGACUGCUAGGUGAAAAUGCAACCUUCUACGUCACCCUGAAACAAACACCCUAUCCGAUGCCAGCAAUCACAUGGACGCACAACGGAUCUCCGAUCAACACAAGCUCCCACAGGAUGCUAUUGUCCAGUAGUGGCUUGUCGUUGACACUGACGAAUUUGCUGCCCCGAGACAGGGGAGUCUACAAAAUCUUGAUGAGCAACUCCGGAGGAAGUGACAACCGGACGUUCUCCAUGGAUAUUCUGUUGCCACCAAUCGUGGACACGUUCUCAGCCAUAAACACCACCAGACUGCUAGGUGAAAAUGCCACCUUCCACGUCACCCUGAAACAUACACCCAAUCCAAUGCCAGACAUCACAUGGACGCACGACGGAUCUCCGAUCAACACAAGCUCCCACAGAAUGCAAUUGUCCAGUAGUGGCUUGUCCUUGACACUGACGAAUUUGCUGCCCCGGGACAGGGGAGUCUACAAAAUCUUGAUGAGCAACUCCGAAGGAAGUGACAACCGGACGUUCUCCAUGGAUAUUCUGUUUCCUCCAGUCGUCUUACAUAACUCUGUGUUGAACAAUACCAGACAACUUGGAGACAAUAUCACCUUCACGAUCUACCUGACCCAAUCAUCGAAUCCAUCCCCAAACU